AGAAAAGAAAUUGUUUUUUUUUUAAUAAACAAAACAAACCCCUUUGGUAUGCUAUUUAUACCCAUACUUGGUAUAAAUCAUCAUUUCAAUACAACCUUCUUUGGAUUUGCACUCAUUUUUGACAAGAAGGUAGAAUCAUUUGUAUGCGUAUUUUAAAAUUGGUUAGAAGCAAUGGGUGGACGCCAACCUAGUGUUGUUUUCACUGAUCAAGACCAUGUGAUUUCUAAAGCAGUGAGACGAGUUUUAGACCAAAGUAAGCAUCAUUAUGAUAAGUAGCAUAUACUUGCGAAGAUUAAGGAAAAACUGUGCCAUGUAUUGCAUAGGCAUCCAACGUUUUCAAAAACCUUUAAGAGGUGUGUGGCUAGCGCAACAAACGAAGAAUUUGAAUUGGGAUGGAAAUCUAUGAUUGAGAAGUAUCAGUUGGAAAGCAACGAAUUACUGUCGCUGGCAAUGAGUUGAUGUGUAUUUGAGCAAGACGUUCACAGCGUGCAUGACUUCCACUCAAAGAAGUGAGUGCAUGAAUAAGCUCUUCAAGGUGGACCUAGCUUUCUCAACAAGUUUACAUACAUUAUUAGAAGUUUCUACACAAGUGCAAGAUAAAAAGGUGCGAAAAAGAGAAGGAACAUGACUUGAAAAACAUUACAACUACCCCAAUCUUAAGAACAACUUCUUUCAUUGAGACACAAGCAUCAAAGUCCUAUACUCAAAAUAUUUUGAAGCUAUUUGGGGAAGAGGUGGCAAAUUGUAUGAAUUUUAUGAGUGAGUCAAUUGAGGACAAUGGAUUGGUUGCCACCUUUAAGGUUGCAUUGCCAAGAACUAGAUCUAGACCCUACAUUGUGGAAUUCGAUUCCAGUGACAAGAGUGUUUAUUGCAGUUGUCACUUAUAUGAGAGGAUUGGCCUUUUUUGUAGGCAUAUGCUUGGGGUUCUUAUGGUGAAAAAUGUAUUUGAAAUCCCUCCACAAUACAUAAUGAGGCGUUGGACAAAGGAUAUGAAGAAAGGGGUUUUCUUUGAUGACAAUGGCAAACAAAUUCCACUACCACGCUUCAUUCGAUAUAAUGAGUUAUGUCAUGCAACUCGAUACCUUGCCGAGCGCGCUUCAGAGAGUGUGAAGCCCUACGAAUUUGUAAUGUCCAUGAUACACAAUACAGUUUCUCAGGUUGAUAGUAAAUUCGCGCGUAAGAGAGGUGCACAGGAUGACACCAUGAUCAAUUGUAAUGUCAAAGAAAAUGCAAUUGUUGAUGAAAAUGCAGGUAGUUGUAGUAACACACCAACUGAAAGUUACCAUUGCCAAAAUAUCCUUGAGCCUCCACGAGCAUGGACAGAAGGGCGAGCUACCAAUAAAAGAAAGAAAGCUCAAUCAGAAGGUUGGAAGUUGAAGGAAAGUAUUAAGAAGCCGAAAGAAAAUACCAAGAAGUGCGCAGUUUGCAAGGGCGAUGGGCAUGACAAAAGAAACCAUCUAUUGUUUGUUCAUGCAAAGUAAUGCAUAACAUUAGAUUCUUUUGAAUUUUGAUCGUACGAGCUUCGUAAUUCUUGAUGUAAUAGAGCUUCCAUAUAAUUGGAGCUUCCAUAUAAUCGUAGUACUUUGAAAUGCAAUAUGAAAUGCUAACAGUGCAAUUUGUCUUCUGUAUUCAGGGAUAGUGACAAAAUCUGCUAUAUGUCUCGGUCUGAUAAGAUCGUGGAGCAUGACCAUUGAUGGUUGGGAGCAACAAUGGUGGGUCGAGCUCUGCCUAUGCUUUUGUGAUAUCCAACAGAUACUUGGAUGGAUGAAGAGCAUGAUAUGAUCUCAAUCCAAUAUGAAAAUGGUUCAUUUUGUACUUACUAUAUUUUUUGAUAGACUCAACGCGCUGUUCUUGAGGUUUUAUGAUGAUUGAUCUGCACUUUAUGUUUCUUUUUAACUAAAUUCUGUGAUGUACUUUGCGUUAAAAAAAAAAAAAAAAAAUCUGUGAUGUACUUGAAAGAGAAGAUUGCAGGUUUGCGAUGUGGUCGUGUGGCUGUUGAAAACAGGUGAGCAUUUCAUUGAUUACAUAUUACUAUUUCUAUGACAGUAGCCACUUUUCUUUCUUAAUUUGUUGUUCAUGGUGUCUUUCAUGGGCAAGUUAGUAAUAUUUGCGAUGCUAUUGAUUGAAGACACACCAUGAUAUUGAUGGAAAUCUAGUGUUGAAACCUUGUGGUAAAACGUAGAACCAGAAACUGAUGGAAUUUCGUGGCCAUGCGUUUGAUUGUAGGAUCAUAUAAAUAAUGGAAUAAAGAAAUUGGUGUUUUU